UACGUAGGGGGCUAGCGUUGUCCGGAAUCAUUGGGCGUAAAGCGCGUGUAGGCGGCCCGGUAAGUCCGCUGUGAAAGUCGGGGGCUCAACCCUCGGAUGCCGGUGGAUACUGUCGGGCUCGAGUACGGAAGAGGCGAGUGGAAUUCCUGGUGUAGCGGUGAAAUGCGCAGAUAUCAGGAGGAACACCAGCGGCGAAGGCGGCGCUCUGGGCCGGAACUGACGCUGAGGAGCGAAAGCGUGGGUAGCAAACAGG
rnacentral:rRNA from 1 species